ensembl:lncRNA
GUCAUGUUUUAGUGCUUAUGCCAGUAAAUUUAAGUGAAUAAAGUUGAAAGGCAAGCUUCCUGAACUGUGUUGUUUAGAAGAAGCACAAGCAAGUUAAGAAUAGGCACAGGUCAGGAUUUCAAAAAUAAUCAAUUGGAUAUUUUGGAAUGGAUUAUUUACUUUGCUUUUAACUAAACAUUUGUUUUAAGAUUUGUUUGUACAAGCUACUCUUCGGUUAUACAGGUAUUAAAGAAAAACAAGUGCUGUACAAGUGUUGUCAGUCACUUAUGCUUCGCAUUAACUUUGUAUUUAUAGCAUGGAUGCAUCUAAAGAAGAUGGAUCCUUGGGUAGACUGGUCAAUGACGAGCACAAAAAUCCCACCUGCAAAAUGAGAAUAAUUACAGUGAACCAGCAACCACAUCUUUGUCUUUUUGCUGUCCAAGACAUUAAACCAGGAGAAGAGAUUACUUACAGUUAUGGAGACUCGGAUUGGCCUUGGCGAGCCAAGGUACUCUCAUUUCUCAAAUCUGUUGUCAUAUUGAUAUUUGACUCUCUUUCUGUAUGUUCUGUACAUAGAACUCUUCAAGCUUUUCAAGCUUUUUUGCAAAAGCUUUGUAUAGUUGUUUGGUAACUAAAAUAUUUAAAAUUAUUAUCAGUGUUUCAAAAGAUUAUUCUACAUUAUUUUCUCCUCCCUUUUGUGUUUUAAACAUUAUUUGUUCCAAAUUUAUUUGUCUUGCCCUUAAACUAAAUCAAUGCACUUCGAAUUAAGCAAACAUUUAUAUUUACUUUUUGUUUACAUCUGUGGUAUUUUUUUGUGUCUUUGGUCUUCUGUGCAGCGUUCAUCACCUGCCCCUGUGACUGCUACAUCAUCCUCAUCCUCAUCUUUACCUGUGAGGAAACGUUCAUCACCUGCCCCUGUGACUGCUACAUCAUCCUCAUCCUCAUCCUCACCUGUGAGGAAACGUUCAUCACCUGCCCCUGUGACUGCUACAUCAUCCUCAUCCUCAUCUUUACCUGUGAGGAAACGUUCAUCACCUGCCCCUGUGACUGCUACAUCAUCCUCAUCCUCAUCCUCACCUGUGAGGAAACGUUCAUCACCUGCCCCUGUGACUGCUACAUCAUCCUCAUCCUCACCUGUGAGGAAACGUUCAUCACCUGCCCCUGUGACUGCUACAUCAUCCUCAUCCUCACCUGUGAGGAAACGUUCAUCACCUGCCCCUGUGACUGCUACAUCAUCCUCGUCCUCAUCCUCACCUGUUAAACAGCAUUCAUCAAGAAAAAGACGGGAGAGGUUUCAGUCAAGAUUAGCCAAACUACGGGAACAUCAUAACAAUUGCUCCAAGCGCUUCAAUAGAGCAGAAAUUAAAAACCAACACAACCAAAAAGACUGCCAUACAUGAGGAUUGCGUUGUGAGUAAUGUGUACACAUGAUCAUCACAUUACUUUAACACCUCAGUGUAUUUAAAGGGGUCAUAUUCUGCGUUUUCACUUUUGCAGCUCUAGGUUUUCGUCGGUCGAGAGGGAGCUGCUGUUGUCAUUGCCCCCCCAAACAAAAGAAAGGAAAACUGCUCUUGACUGAAUCACUUAUUAACUUAAAUAAGAAUCAUCUAUAUUUAAUGUAUAGAGUGAAGAUUAUUUUUACAUUUAUUACUUCAUAGAAUGUCUGUAGUAGGCUAUUUUUAGAAGCCUUUACUUGGCUACUAUCUGAAAAGAAAACUAUUUAAUUUGUAUUUGUGAGUAAUAUAUUCAUAUACUGUAUCAUUUAGCUUGUAAGUAAUACUUAGUGUUUAAUUGCCUUCAGUAAGCCUGACAGUGUUUUUAUUACUAUUUUUUUGCUUUUUGUGUUAGUGGCAGUUUCUUACUGCAAAAAAAAAAAAAUUAAUAAAAAAAUUAUUUGGAGGCGGGUGCUUUAUAGAGAUCAGAAGAAAUCUGAGGGUUUGGCAGAGCUCAGGAGAUUGGUCCUGCAAUAAUGUAAAUUAUUAGUAGUGUUAUAUUAAAAAUUAUAGUGUUAUAAAAAUAGUGUUUUUUAAACAAUUAAACAUGAAAACCUAUUCUACAACACCUCAAAAACAAUAUAAAGACUUCACAAAAGGACAUAAUAUGACCCCUCUCAACUGCUAAUGGUCAUUAACCAGUUUCCUUUGUCAUUUGAAGCUUUCCACUUGUUUUUCUCUCUUAUGUUUUGAAGGUAUUCCAGUCAUCUGAUGCACCCUGUGCUAUGUGUACCUCUGUAAAGGCAUCACCACCCUCUCGCCCUUCUCCACUCCCCUCAUCAUCAUCAUCAUCAGCUGCCCCUGUGAUGGGCACAUCAUCUUCAUCCUCCCCAUCAUCACCUGCCCCUUUACCCUGUGAUGCAUCCACUUCUGUGAUCUCCCCAUCACAGGUGUCCCAGACACUCUCAAUAAGGGAGGUGUGUAAAUAAAAUUAGUAAAGGAUCUCUGGUAACACUUUCUAUGAAGCCCAUAUUUAUAAUACAUUAUAAGGGAAUUCUUAAGGCAUUAUAAUGAAUGCAUAGCACGGUAUAAAAAAGCCUUAUAAUAUGUUGUAUCAUCUCAUGAAUAUUCAUAAGAACAGUUUUAAUAUUAUAAUAUUUACUUAUUUUUGGUUAUAGCUUUUAAGACUAUGAUGAUUUAUAACACAAUGAACACGUUGCAUGCACUUUUACAACGGAUUAUAUUUCUCAUAGUUAUAAUGGAUUAUAAGUCUCAUAUCUUGCCAUUUUUCUGAUGCUACUUUACUUACUUUACUUAUCUCUUUACUUAACAGCCAUAAGAUUAGAUGAAUGUGUGAUAUGACACAUUUGCUUUGAACUAUUUUUAUUGUAAUAUCAGUUUGAUUAUUUUGAUGGUACCCUUUAGACAGCUGUUGAUAAGUAACUCUGCAACUACAUGUCAACUAGUGGUCAUUAGAGUAUUAUUAUGUCUGCUACUGUAAAUAUAUGACUAACACUUUAUUUUGAUGGUCAACCAACAGAUACACUGACUAUAAGUGUCUUUGCAAGUACAUCAGCUUAUUCUACUAGAUUCUACCAUUCUUGAGCAUACUAAUACUCUAAUGAGAGUUAGUUGGCAUGUAGUGGAAAAGUUGCUUAUAGUCGAUUGAUUAAGAGGACCAUCAAAAAUAAAAAUUUAACCAUUUUAACAUUGCAUUUUUUCAGUCAGAGUGUUAAUCUCACAUCAAUUAAUUAACAUUAGCCCCACAGGAAACACUCAAAUAACACUCAAGAUCUAACCACUCACAAGCUGUAGUAAGAUACUGUGCAGAUCUGAAAUAAACAAUGUCAAGAUAUGAUACAGUCCAUUAUACUGUACAUGAAGUAGACUUAAUAUGGUGUUCAUUGUGUUAUAAAUAAUCAUACUCUUAAACUUAUAACCACACACACAUAAGUAUUAUGAUGUAUUAUAACUGUUUUUAUGAAUAUUCAUGAGAUGACACAACAUAUUAUAAGGUUUUUUUAUAAUGCAUUAUGCAUUCAUUAUAAUGCCUUAAGAAUACCCUUAUAAUGUAUUAUAAAUAUGGGCUUCAUAGAAAGUGUUACCGGAUCGGUAUAUUCAGAAAUACUUUGUAUAUAAAUAUAAAUGUAUAUUAGCAUUACCGUAACUCUAACUAGAUUACCUCUGUCAGGGAUAUGAGAUCUGCUAUUGGAUGAAUUUAGUAGCACACAUUCAACCACAGUAGUGUUAAAUAACAUCCAGUUGUGAUUAGUUGGGGUUUCAGACCUCAGAAUAAGGCAUAAAUAUUUAUUUUGUUUUAAAGAUUUAGAGUUGUGUAAUAAGCAGCAGUGUGUUGUUUGCUGAAUGGUCAUUGCACACUUCUUUGUAUUAUUUGUUUAUUUGUUUUUCUUCUCUUCCAGAUGCACUUAAGGCCAUCAAGAAAAAGACAGGUAUUGUUGUAUACUUCAUAUGCUCUUUAUAAUUCCCUUUUGUUGAAACUCAGUUACAUAUUGUCCUUAGUCUAUCCCAUUACGCAAGUUUUAAAAUGUUUGGUUAAAGGAGUUAUUUUGUAUGAUCUGAGUAAGUGUUGUAUUCUCUUAUUUAGUAUUCUGGAAGUGCCUUCAGUGAUUCAGACCUCUCGGACUACAGUGAUGUAGACUAUGUGCCCCAGAUCAGCUCAGAUGAAUCAGAUGGCAGUGCUUCUGGACAGGACAAUGCAGAGAGCAGUACAGAUGGCAGUUGUAAGGCAGGUAGUUCAUCUGGAAAAUGCAUGCCAUCACUGUCAUCAAAAAGGAUAAAAGGCCAAACUAAAGAGACAGACGCCUCACCUGACAAAAGGACAUUUGUUCAGGCAAUGCCAUCACCGAAGAAGAACCGCAAAUCAUAUAAAAAAAAACAGUAUUGCAUUUAUUGCUCUAAGCCAUAUUCAAAAUUGGCAAGACAUCUUGAGUUUGUCCAUCGCAAUGAGGUGGAGGUUGCAAAGGCUGUAGCAUUUCCAAAACAUUCGAAACAACGGCGAAUCCAGUUAAAUCUUCUUCGAAAAAGGGGAAACUUUGCCCACAACACAUCUGUGGUGAGAAAAGGACACGGG